rnacentral:misc_RNA from 1 species
AAGUCGUAACAAGGUCUCUGUUGGUGAACCAGCGGAGGGAUCAUUACAUGAGUCGGUAAAAAACUCCCAAACCCACGUGAACAUUCACCUACUGUUGCCUCGGCAGGACCCACCCGGGACCUACCCUGUAGCUACCUUGUAGCCUGCCGGUUGGAACAUCUAAACUCUUGUUUUUUAUAGAAUCUGAACGAUCUUAUUAAAUAAGUCAAAA